rnacentral:rRNA from 1 species
UACGUAGGGGGCGAGCGUUGUCCGGAAUCAUUGGGCGUAAAGCGCGCGUAGGCGGCCAUCUAAGUUUGGUGUGAAAGCCCAGGGCUUAACCCUGGAAGUGCACUGAAUACUGGAAGGCUAGAGGAUAAGAGGGGAGAUUGGAAUUCAUGGUGUAGGGGUGAAAUCCGUAGAUAUCAUGAGGAACAUCAGUGGCGAAGGCGAAUCUCUGGCUUAUUUCUGACGCUGAGACGCGAAAGCGUGGGGAGCAAACAGG